rnacentral:rRNA from 1 species
UGAACGCUAGCGGCAGGCUUAAUACAUGCAAGUCGUGGGGCAGCAUGAGUAGCAAUACUUGAUGGCGACCGGCAAACGGGUGAGGAACACGUACACAACCUUCCUUCAAGCGGGGAAUAGCCCAGAGAAAUUUGGAUUAAUACCCAUAAUAUAUUUGAUAAGGCAUCUUAUUAAUAUUAAAGCUUCGGCACUUGAUGAUGGGUGUGCGGCUGAUUAGAUAGUUGGCGGGGUAACGGCCCACCAAGUCUACGAUCAGUAGCUGAUGUGAGAGCAUGAUCAGCCACACGGGCACUGAGACACGGGCCCGACUCCUACGGGAGGCAGCAGUAAGGAAUAUUGGACAAUGGACGAAAGUCUGAUCCAGCCAUGCCGCGUGAAGGAUUAAGGUCCUCUGGAUUGUAAACUUCUUUUAUAUGGGACGAAAAAAGGGCAUUCUUGUUCACUUGACGGUACCAUAUGAAUAAGCACCGGCUAACUCCGUG